GGCCCCUUCGUCUAGAGGCCUAGGACACCGCCCUUUCACGGCGGCAACAUGGGUUCGACUCCCAUAGGGGUCA
rnacentral:tRNA from 1 species